rnacentral:SRP_RNA from 1 species
CGGAACGCAGCAGGGCUAGCGGUGUUGGUGGUGC